UUCGCCCCGCACAAUUGCCGUCGCCAUGCACGUCCAAGACACGUAAUAUUAUUCAAUUAGGACUAACCCAAUAAGAUUAAGGGGGUACUAGUCGUAUCAUCUCGCUGUCCCUGUCUGUUCGUCACUCUCAGUCACGCUAAUCUCGCUCGUUUCUCCCUCUCUCUCUCUCUCUCCCUCUGAGCAUCUUCGUCAUCUACAUGUAGACCGUCUCGACUCGACCGUGCAAGAAGGAAAAGGAACAACGUCCAGGCAUCUGAUCGGGAAAAGAAGUCGUAUCUCAAGAAGCUUGGGUGCGUUUCUAGUUCUGGAUCGAUGAGCCUCGUCAACACUCAGCAAAAUUACUCCGCUGUUCGCACCCUCUCGGUCUCAGCUCCUUCCUCCUCCUCCUCCUCCUCAAUCUCCAGAUGUUCUGAAGGUCUUGCUCCUUCAGAUAAUGCAACUUGUGGAGCACCUGCCUGGAUUGGGAAAGGCCUCACAUGUGUUUGCUUUAAGCGAAAGGGGACAUACGAACGCAUUUGUUUUCACUUGACACCCAUACAGGAGGAAAGGCUUAAAAGAUUGAAGUGUCGUAUGAAAGUAUUCUUUGAUGCUUCUAGGCGAGAUCACCAGGAUGCUUUGAGAGCUCUCUGGUCUGCUACAUAUCCCAAUGAGGAACUACAAGGCUUAAUAUCUGAUCAAUGGAAAAAAAUGGGGUGGCAAGGGAAGGAUCCAUCCACCGAUUUCAGGGGGGCUGGAUUCAUUUCUUUAGAGAACCUGCUCUUCUUUGCAAAGACAUUUUCGAUAUCUUUCCAGCAUCUGCUGGAAAAGCAAGGAGGAAAGCGAGCAGCAUGGGAGUACCCAUUUGCUGUUGCUGGUGUCAAUAUUACAUUCAUGAUCAUGCAAAUGCUUGAUCUCGAUGCAUGUUCACUGAUAAGACAUGGACCGCUCAUUUAUUUGCAGCAAAACCCAGGACAUUUAUUAGAGGAGUGUUUCUGCAGAUGUUGUCAGAGGAUCAGUGGGCAUUUGAUUUGCUAUAUUGCGUGGCUUUCAUGAUUAUGGACAAACAAUGGCUGGAAAGAAACGCGACAUACAUGGAGUUCAAUGAUGUUCUGAAGUCUACUCGAGCCCAGCUAGAGAGAGAACUUCUCAUGGAAGAAGUCUUGCGAAUUGAAGAUAUGCCUUCGUAUGGCCUUCUAUGCUAGCCAAUUUCAAGGACAGGCAGUAGUUCAGGGCGAGUUGAAUUCCACGAGCCAAGUAUUUUCACCCAAGAGAAACUUCUUAUUGUGUGCUUAUACUAUUGAAACCAUCUCUUUUA